UUAUCAUUUUUAUUGUUUUCUUAUAUAAAUUCAAAAUGGUUUUUUUUAAACAUAGUUUAAUGACGUUUACAAUUCUAGGUAUUGCAAUUUGGGUUAUGCCUGCAGCUACUUCAAAUCAAAAAGUACAAAAGUUAAAAGAUUCUUGUGAAGGUAUUCUAAGAGUUAUCGGAUUCGAAGAUACAUAUGAUGAUUAUAACAUAACAAAUUUUAAAA